rnacentral:rRNA from 1 species
AAUAGAUACCCAGGUAGUCCACGCCGUAAACGUUGGAUACUAGGUGUGGCGGUUAUACCAAUGACUGCCGUGCCGAAGCUAACGCAUUAAGUAUCCCGCCUGGGGAGUACGGCCGCAAGGCUAAAACUCAAAGGAAUUGACGGGUCCCCGCACAAGCAGUGGAGUAUGUGGUUUAAUUCGAAGCAACGCGAAGAACCUUACCAAGUCUUGACAUCCCUCUGACCGGUCUAGAGAUAGACCUUUCCUUCGGGACAGAGGAGACAGGUGGUGCAUGGUUGUCGUCAGCUCGUGUCGUGAGAUGUUGGGUUAAGUCCCGCAACGAGCGCAACCCUUAUGCUUAGUUGCCAGCAGGUCAAGCUGGGCACUCUAAGCAGACUGCCGGUGACAAACCGGAGGAAGGUGGGGAUGACGUCAAAUCAUCAUGCCCCUUAUGACCUGGGCUACACACGUACUACAAUGGCCGGUACAACGGGAAGCGAAAUCGCGAGGUGGAGCCAAUCCUAGAAAAGCCGGUCUCAGUUCGGAUUGUAGG